ensembl:lncRNA
CAGGAUUCCAACACACACGUUAGCAGAGAAGUGACAACUUCCAGGGAGGAGAAAGAAGGGCAGGAGGAAGGAGUGGACCCGGAAAAGUGACCGGAAACAGAGCAAGAAGCACCAUUUCUCCCCCUUGCAGCCCAGGGGAGGAGGAUUAUCCCACUGAGGUCGAGAUCACCACGGAGGCCGGCCCAGAAUCAGGUUCUUGGAAGGACAGUGGUCAGCCUCUGUCACCCAACAGAGGACAGGAUGAUUGCAGACCCCGUCCCGUGUUCAGAGCCCAGCCGCUGCAUAUUUUACAGACGUACCUGGCCUCCCAGGCACUAGAAACAAAGCAACCAGCGACCGACUGUGCCGCAUCUUUCCAUCCCCUCCGGCCCAGAACCUGAUGGAAACCGUGCCUGUCCACUGCGGAAAGGACAGGCGAAAUAAAUACGGUUUGCAACCACUGGGUGGGCCUGGUAUCAGAAAUAAAUAAUAAUUACUGCAUUUAUUGGUGCACUUUUCCGGCCUAUGCGCCUUUCCAAGUUUCUGUGAAAAGUCACUGUAUAAUAACUUUGUUUCUUUCCCUGGCCUUGAGGAGGCUGCAGAAGACACCAAGCCGAGAGAGAAAAAUACAAAGGUAAAAAAAAAAUUAUCAGCAAGCCUCUGCAAUCAAUUCAGUGCACAUUCAUCUGAAUUCAGCAAAUAACUGGUAGCAAAUGUGAGUCCGUACAAUUUUCCUUCAAAGCACUGGAAAAACUCUUGAAAAGUCCUUGAAUCUGUUUUAAGGAGAGGCCCUGAGAUAAUAAGGGUCCGACAGAACCAGAACUGAAGCUUGUUUUUCCACCCUGAAAAAAGCAACAAACAAAACAGAUCCAAGUGGUUGCAGGCACCGGGGAGUCGCCUCUCGGAGCUGAGUUUGAAGACCCCAGGCACUUUCUUCCCAAAUGUACUAGCAGUGUGGCCCUGGCCCCGGGGGCGUGGUACGGCAGCAUCUAUCUGGGGGCCUCCGAGGCGGUCUUGUAAUCGCCUCGGUGUGAUCUGCUCCGGCAGAAGGUGCGCCUGGCCGGAUCCAGCCCGCCCUUCAGCCAAGGCGAGCUUAGGUCUGCACUUUUUCCUUCUCCUGCUAUGAAAAGAGGCUUUUACUUCUCUCCACCCCGCCCCUCGCCCUGUGAAGUUUGUUUUCAGGCUGUAAACUAGCUCGACUCUCGGUUUCCAUCUCCGUCGCCUGAGAUUCACCGCAUUCACCAGCCCAGGUGGCACAGACGAAAGCUGAGCUAUCUUUGUGCACGUAGUGGGAGCCACCGCGUGGCCAAGAGCAGCACCGGGAAACCGGAAGCGUUCCUGCCCCGGGCUGCGGAGCGCCGGCAGGGUUAAACCGGCCCGAGGCGUGCUAGGCGCAGCGGCUCAGGCAGCGGCCCAGGCAGCCAGGCCGCCUCGGAAGUUAGCAAACAAAGCGUCUCCGCAGUAACCGCCCGGUGCCAGACGCGGCUCCAGCCACUCAGACCGCGGAGUCGCUGCGUCGCGGGGCCCGCGGCUCCUCCUCCCUCCCGGCUCGCCAGCGGAUGUGAGCCACCAAUCCCGGCAGCAAGCGACCCUUCAAAUGCCCAGCCGAGACGGCCUCCAACGGGCGGCGGGGACGCGCCCCUGUCCGCACCCCCCCUGGCCGGCGCCCCGGGCGCAGCGCCGACUCGUCUCCAGCCGCGCGGGACCGGAGCGGGUGGCUUCUCCCGGGGGCCGCGCCCCCGCCCACCGCAGGCUUGGGUCUGAGUGGUAGGGGAGUCUGACUGGGGCGCACGGCAGCUCAUUUGCUUUGCUUCAGAACCACAGGACCUGCCUACGUGAAAGGCAGGCGCGCGGGAGAGGAGGCCGCGGGUUUUGGGAUCUCCCCCAGGCAUCUGGUCUUUCAAAGGGGGUUCGUUCGGGAGCGCCUGUCGGGGCUCCGCCUCUCCGCCGGAAUAAACCGACGUGUGUUGACUUCCCGGCAAGUUUCCGUUUGAAAUACCGGGGGGGUCCCCGGGCGGCGCAGGAGUCCUCGGAGGAAACGCUGUUCACCGAAACGCACGAAGGCGCCAGGUGUAGGGGUCCGGCGGGGGCGGGGGCCGUCCCCGAGCCGAGACGUUUAAAGAACACGUGAGCGUGACAAGUGUCGCGGCGCAACGUGUUCGAUUUCGAAACCGCUCUGCAAUCCAGUCCGGAACCCGCCGCUGCAGCCCCGGGCAGCGGGCCGGCGUUCGCCCGGGUGGUUGUCUCCGCCCCGCCCCGCGCCCCGACGUGGCCGUGGGAGGAAGCGCCUGGAGUAGGGGGUGCGCCGCGCCGCCCGCGUGCCCCGGCAGCCGCGCUCGGGAAGAAGUUGCUCCUCGUCCCGAACACUUUUCCCCUCGGCCCCGCCCCUUGAGUCACCGGCCGCGAUCUCCGGCGGCCGAUCUCCGGCGGCCGGAGCGAGCUUGGUGGAGUUCGGGUCAGCUGUCAAAAAGCGAGCGGCUUUUCCACCCGGGGCGGGGCUGGCGGGUCCUCCCCCCAUCUGUUGCAAUUUUCCAGCCGCGCGCUCGCCACCCGGGAAGAAAGGCUGCGGGCCGGGCGAGGCGUGCGAGCGGCCGGCGGGGACCGUCGUGUUUCGGGGCUUGCCCCCCCCCCCGCCGAGGGGCCGGUGGCGGCGCCCCGUCCGUCCGGGCCCGGCUGGAAGGCGCGGGGGGAGGGGCGGCGGGAGGCGGG